UUAGUAGUAGAGCUUUUGGAAGUAGAGCUGUUGGAAGUAGAGCUGUCUGAAGCAGAGCGUUUAUAAAAAUCUGUUUGCUGUUUGGUAACCAUUUCUAAAGUGUUGUGGCACUUUAACAUGUGUUUGGUAAACAAAUUGAGAAAAUACUUUUGUGUGACAAAAUGACCAUAAAGGAUAUUACCAGUAUUAUAUAACAUAGCAUAAUAAAAUAUAAUAUGUAUUAAUACAUAAA
rnacentral:lncRNA from 1 species